rnacentral:rRNA from 1 species
GAACGAACGCUGGCGGCAUGCCUAACACAUGCAAGUCGAACGGGACCUUCGGGUCUAGUGGCGCACGGGUGCGUAACGCGUGGGGAUCUGCCCUUAGGUACGGAAUAACUCAGGGAAACUUGAGCUAAUACCGUAUAAUGACUUCGGUCCAAAGAUUUAUCGCCUAGGGAUGAACCCGCGUAGGAUUAGCUUGUUGGUGAGGUAAAGGCUCACCAAGGGCGACGAUCCUUAGCUGGUCUGAGAGGAUGAUCAGCCACACUGGGACUGAGACACGGCCCAGACUCCUACGGGAGGCAGCAGUGGGGAAUAUUGGACAAUGGGCGAAAGCCUGAUCCAGCAAUGCCGCGUGAGUGAUGAAGGCCUUAGGGUUAGUAAAGCUCUUUUACCCGGGAUGAUAAUGACAGGU